GCUCAGGAUUGGGGCAGGGGAUUCGGACGUGGGCUUACCUCAGGCGGCUUCUGGUCAGCAGUGCAGCGUGGGUGCUAAGGCAGGCUUCCUUCUUGUCCUAGCAUCGCAGACGGCACUGUGCCCUGGAAACGGCCCAGCAGCAGGUCUGGCUCCUAGAUGGAGGCGGGCAAGCGGCUCCAUGCUGCUCUUGCAGGAACUGGCCAAUGGAAGUGCGGAGCCAGUGCUCGGGGCAGCAUGCAGAGCCCUGUGGCCCCCACACCUAGGAGCUGGACCUGCUGCUGGCCACUUGCAGGGCUACAGCACAGUGUCAGAACAGGUAGGGACUAGCCUGCCUUAGCCACGCAGCACCGCUGUCGGGACUUUUAACAGCCCGGUCGGCAGUGCUGACCAGAGCUGCCGCAACCCAGUACUGGGUUGUGACCUGCAGUUUGAAAACCACCUUCAUAAUGUCCCCUAAGCAUAUCUCUGAAGAUAAAUUGACAAUCAGGCUGCUCUACUCAGACUCCUCAUAGGGCAUGUCUAUGCAUCAUGUGGGAGUGUGUCUCUGAGUUCAGGUCAAUGGGCUUGUGGUAAUGGGGCUCACACUAGUGCUCUAAAAAUAGCUGUAUAGACACUGAAGAUUUGGCUCUGAAGCUGGGGGAACUUUGAGAGCCUGAGCUCCAGUCUCAGCCACAACAUCAAAGCACCAUCUAUACAGCUGUUUUAAGAACACUAGCACAACCUCUGCUCACUUGAGUGUGGAUCUGGGCAGGGAGGCUCGCUCAUAGACACAGUGUAGAUACACCCAGAGAGAUCCCAUUAAAUCCUCUGAGGAGAAUUAUCCCAGACAUCCAAGUUAAGUUGUGUUUUCUUGGUUAAUUUUGUGAAGUAUGAUCCUUUUGGUUGCUGAUGCCAGAUAAAAUCAAAAGGUUCUACCUAGUGCAAUGAGUCUAAGCAAAAUUAAGCUGUCUCAGUAGUGAUCGCCUGUGUUCAAGAGUAACCUUCCUUGUCCUCUUGGUGUAUGAAUCCUGAAUCCCUACUGUCCUCAAAAAUAAAAGUAUAAAUGAAGUACUGAUUCAUUGUCCAGUGAAGAAAAGAAGUGCACAUAUUGGCAUUACUUUAUCACAAUAAGUUUCCUUCAAAGAGAAACCAUAAUAAUUCAAAACCUACAGGAUACUGUAGCAAAUAACAGUGAGACAGUGUGGCCUAACGAUAGGGCUCUGAUUUGAGACUCUCAAGAUUUUAAUUAUAUUCUCGGCUCCGCCACUGAUAUGUGUGACCAUGGACAAAUCAGUUCCCCUCUCUUUGUCGUAUUUAGAAGGUAAGCUUAUUAGGACAGGGACUCUCUCUUAAUAUGUUUGUACAGCAACUAGCAUGAUGGGGUCCUAACCUUAGUUGGAGAUUCUAAGUGUAAAAGAACAAAUUUGUUUCAGUUUUGUAGUUUGCCAUAGUAGUUCUAGAGCUGAAUGAACUUAUUGUAUGAAAUGUAGGGUGAAAUGAGGCAUAUUUAACUGUGGAUAGCUCAGUUAAUAAAAUAAUUAAGUGAACCCCCAGUGAGGAUUUGACUAAAGGUGGAUCAGUCUACAUUCUGGUGUGUUCUUCAGACUGUGCCCAGCAGGGAAAGCCACAACUGAGACAUUAGUAAUGACCUGAAUGGACCCAAACCUCUGCUGAGUUUUUUCUUUUGCAGCAUCUUUCAUCAAGCCACGUUCAUUUGCUAACUUCCAGUUCCAUAGCAUAAUGUGGACUCUGGUGCAAUGAAUCAACUCUAGAUACCAAGAGAGAAUCCCUCCCCUAAUGAAGAUGAUGGUUUUGCCUUAAAUAUAUUGAUUGCUCUUAGCAUCCCUGAUAUGGUGAUGAAGUAUAUGGGGUGAUAAAUUUUGCUUUUGUGACUAGGGAUGCACGUGUGGGGCUAGUGAUGCUAAUUAGGUGAAGGGUUACCUCUUGAUCCCUCUGGCUUGAUCCUUAUGGUACCAGGUGAGGACCAAACUGUAAUAGGUACAUCUUAGAUGCUUGCCACAUCUGACCCACCUGGUUCUUCCUGCCAUUCUCUGCCCUGGACUCACUGACUGGAACUUUACCUUAUAGUUCUGUCUUUAGGCUGCUCUGCUGCCCUUUUUUAUGCCCUCUGUGGUGAGCUGGUAAAUCAUAUGUUUUUGUUGUGGUAGCAGCAGAGUGUGUGCGCAUAUGUGUGGUGGGUGUGUUACGUAUACGUUUGUGUAUAUGACUUGGCUUCUCAGAUAUAUGAAAUGUAUACAUUUCUUCAGUGUUUGCUGAGUCCUUUAUAUUGUAAAGUUAUUUUGAAUAACAUGGAGAGAUUAAUAAUCCAAGAUGAAAUGAUGGUUAAGGUGAUGUUUAGGUGAAAUAAUACAUAUCUUAAUGACCGAUGUAAAAAUAAAAAAUUUCAUCUUGUCUAGAGAAAGUCAUCUGACCUGGUUACAAAACAGUUGUUUGAUGUCUUAAGUCAAUACACUCUCUUAUUUGAGUAUUUUGAUGCUGCUAUUAGGUAUCUAGUUAAAGAGCUGUUUGUUGAUGAAUUUAAGGAGUUUUUUUAAAUGUUCGUGCUGUUUGAAUCAUUAUCCUUUGUUGGUCUAGCUUCUGUUGGUAUUGUCAUUUCUUAUAUGAUGUCACAAAGAAGUCAUAUCAUUUAAUUCUGCUGUGUGUGCUGCACUGGGGAGCUCAAAGUUGAACCAUUGUUGAAAUAUGGUAGGAGGAAGCUAAGAUACUUGCUUUGUCUCUCAGGGUUAAAGUUUUGAAGGAUUAAAUUCCUGUAUGUCUUUAAGAUGACAAGGUAUAUCUCUUAGGUUUUCUGGUACUCCUUUCUGUUUUAAAUUACUUUUUUUCAAUAGAGGGAGAGCAAAGCCAAACCAAAUUGCACUUACUGCAUUUACUUCUAACAUGACCUCUUAAUUUUGUACUUGAUCUCAGUCUUUAUUAGUUGGGGAACUUUGAAUCCAUUCUUUUCCAUAACAUGUUUAUGGAGAGUCCAAUGGACAGUCCUGUUUGUGGACCCUGUUUGUUUGAGAGUGUGUGAGUGUGGUCUUCUAUCUUCUGCUGAGCAUGGGAGCAGAACUUCGGAUUUUGGUGAGAAUUUUUUUUAUUUUUUCUGUCCACAACUUUGUUAAUUAUGCAAAAUUCUAAUAUGUCUUCUGGUGGUAAUCUCAAAUUCAUUUUUAAUUUCUGUUUUAGAAACACGUUAAGUUUCUCUGCCUUCAUUUCUAGCUCUAAAUAGAUGCCUCUUUUUUUAAAAUUGAAGCCACAGGGUAGGUAGCUGUUCUGUUAAUUUUAUUUGAAUGUUCUGUUUUUCUGUCAUGAUCUCCUUGGGAUUCCAGUGCACUGGCAGGCACUCUAUAGUAAAAGGAUUUUUCUGGAUACUUUUUAAUUUUGCACGUUUCUUGAUUUUUUUGAUGGGCUGUUGUGCAGUAUUAAUGUCAUGUAUUAAUGCCAGUGUUGCUAUAUAGUGGUCAUCUUCACAUCUUUUUCAAGAUUAUGCUUAGUGUUUAAGAAAAGAUCAUUAACUAUGAGAUUUACCUCUAAAUAUGCUUCUGGUAAUCUUUCCAUAAAAACUCAGUGAGGCACAGGUGAAAUGAAUGAGUUCCUGACUCUUGUCUAGUCAGUGAUGUUGUGCAGCUGGAUAGUAAUUUUUUUUAAUUUUUUUUUUUUACUUUUGUAGAUUUCUCCUCCGUAAUGUAGAAUAAAAUGAAGUUUCAUUCUUUCUUAAGAUAGUUACAGCACCACUUGGCUGGAUUUCUGCAAGUGCAGGUGGGGCCUUGGGUAUCAUCAUUUUCAGAGACUCAGUAUAUGCUGAAGGAAGUCUCCAGAGGAAUACAAUAUAUUGUGUUUUACAUUAAGUUCUGUAAGGUAAAAAGCAUCUUGGGUUAUAAAUGUAAGUAAGGGUCCUUAAACCCUUGUUGUUUUAUUACCAUAAGGAAUCAGAGGUGGGUUUUUUUUUUUUUUUUUUUUUUUAAAAGAUGAAGAUGAACUGCUCUGAAGGUUAUUCUAGCCAUUGCAGGAAUUGUUCCUGAUUUAAGUUUUAGUGAUUUCACAGUAGUGUGUGAAGCAAGUUUAUUAAUUUUCUGAUUUCGGUGAUUUGAGAAUAGAGGUUUGUGGCAUAUCUCUUUCUUCUGGAUACAUGACUACAGAUCUUGCAUCUAAUAGGAAAUUUAUAUCCAGGGACUUGAGAAUAUUUACUAGGGUUAAUGUUGGGCUUUUCCUGUAUUUCCUGCCAUGAUCUCUGCUUGGAACUGUGUUGCUAGGAGUAUACAUUUUCUUAAUGAUUUUGCUACUUUUUUUUGGAAGUUCUCCAUUUUUUUCUGAAUUAUUUUCUUUUUUACAUGGAACUCAAGGACAUAUUAGUUUCUUCAUUGUUAAAUGGUAAACAAUUUACAUUUUCCAUAACUGUUUCUCUUUUUACUCUGCUUAUCCUAGAUGGGUUUGGAGGCAUCAGUAGGUUUCUGUUUCUGUGUCUGUAAGGGGAAAGCACACUUACGAUCUAUACUUUUCUUUCUGAUAUGCCAUUCAGGUUGAUCUCAAACUUGUUCUGGAAUAAAUGGUAUAUCUCUUGCAGUUCCCAUUGCUGGAAUCACUGGAAUUAGGACUGAUUGGAAGAAGGAGCCUUUGGAAUCUUUUUUCUAAGGACUUUGUCCGAGUAGGAGGAAUUUUCCAAGACAAUCACCUGUGUCUGGGGUGGUCUAAUAGAUAACCAAGAACAUCCUCCCUCUCAGACCAAAUACAGAGGGUUGUUAGACUGUUGUUAUUAUGUCACCAAAGCCCUUACCUGUAUAGUCCUGUAAGGUCAUAUUAUUCAACAUCUAUAGGUAACUGUUGGGGGAGUUGGUGAGACAUGAGCUGAAAUGCCAUGAGAUGCACAUGACACCUAGCUCUAGAGUUCCUGUACAUCAGUGGUUCUCAAGCAGGGAUACACAGAGAUUUUCCAGGAGUGGAUUAGGUAGAAGAGUCUGGAGCAACUGUCAGCACUGCUGUUCUUGGAGAGAGACUGUCACUCUGCAAUGUUGAGCCUUUACUCACCUCAAAUUUAUAAUACAGCUUCAGUCUGCCUGAAGAGUCUGGCAAAAGCUUUUGCUGAUAAUUGUACUUAAAAAAAAAAAAAUCUAAACUGCUUUCCUCUCUGAUUUUCCAGGAAGCACAUGACCUAUCUGUGUUGUUCUGAGAGGAACAUGGCUUCUGGCACAUGAGAGGCAUAAAACAAUUUAAAGUAACAUCUCCACCUAGUGGUCAACCAAUAAAGCACAAUUGUACUAA